rnacentral:rRNA from 1 species
AGAGUUUGAUCAUGGCUCAGGACGAACGCUGGCGGCGUGCUUAACACAUGCAAGUCACGGGGGCUCGCAAGGGCAACCGGCGAACGGGUGCGUAACACGUGAGGGACCUGCCUGGAAACGGGGGAUAGCCGGCCCAACGGCCGGGUAAUACCGCAUACGCUCCUUGCGCGGCAUCGCGUGGGGAGGAAACCUCCGGGGUUUUCAGAGGGCCUCGCGGCCUAUCAGCUAGUUGGCGGGGUAACGGCCCACCAAGGCGACGACGGGUAGCUGGUCUGAGAGGAUGGCCAGCCACAUUGGGACUGAGAGACGGCCCAGACUCCUACGGGAGGCAGCAGUGGGGAAUCUUGCGCAAUGGCCGAAAGGCUGACGCAGCGACGCCGCGUGUGGGAGGAAGCUCUUCGGGGUGUAAACCACUGUUGCCCGGGACGAACGGCGGGUUUUGACUCGCGUGACGGUACCGGGUGAGGAAGCACCGGCUAACUCUGUGCCAGCAGCCGCGGUAAUACAGAGGGUGCGAGCGUUGUCCGGAAUCACUGGGCGUAAAGGGCGCGUAGGCGGCUUGGUAAGGUUGCGGUGAAAGCCCGGGGCUCAACCCCGGGUCGGCCGUGGCAACUGCUGAGCUGGAGCACUGUAGAGGCAGGUGGAAUUCCGGGUGUAGCGGUGGAAUGCGUAGAGAUCCGGAAGAACACCGGUGGCGAAGGCGGCCUGCUGGGCAGUGGCUGACGCUGAUGCGCGACAGCGUGGGGAGCAAACAGGAUUAGAUACCCUGGUAGUCCACGCCGUAAACGAUGGGCACUAGAUGCUUGGGGGAGCGACCCUCCGAGUGUCGGCGCUAACGCAUUAAGUGCCCCGCCUGGGGAGUACGGCCGCAAGGCUGAAACUCAAAGGAAUUGACGGGGGCCCGCACAAGCGGUGGAGCAUGUGGUUUAAUUCGACGCACGCGCAG